rnacentral:rRNA from 1 species
GACCUCAGAUCAGGUAAGGAUACCCCCUGAACUUAAGCAUAUCAAUAAGGGGAGGAAAAGAAACCAACAGGGAUUGCCCUAGUAACGGCGAGUGAAGCGGCAACAGCUCAAAUUUGAAAUCUGGCGUCUUAGGCGUCCGAGUUGUAAUUUGUAGAGGCAUGUUCGGGCAACGGUUUAGUCUAUGUCCUUUGGGACAAGGCGUCAUAGAGGGUGAGAAUCCCGUAUGACUUUUCUCGUAGCCUAUGUGAACGGCCUUCUAAGAGUCGAGUUGUUUGGGAAUGCAGCUCUAAUUGGGUGGUAAAUUCCAUCUAAAGCUAAAUACUGGCAAGAGACCGAUAGCGCACAAGUAGAGUGAUCGAAAGGUGAAAAGCACUCCGGAAGGAGAGUUAAACAGCACGUGAAAUUGUUGAAAGGGAAGCACUUGAGAGCAGUUCUGAAGCCUUGUCAAUCAACCUUCAUUCUUGUAGGUGCACUUGACUUGGUUUCGGCCAGCAUCAAUUCUGGCGGUGGUAUAAGGUCUUUGGGAAUGUGACUUUCUUCGGGNAAGUGUUAUAGCCCAAGGUCGAUGCUGCCAGCUGGGAUUGAGGACGCGCUUCGGCUAGGAUGCUG